GCAGCUGCACUGGGGAAUGGGCAAGAUUUUGACAGACAUUUAAAUCUGUUACUCACCUAGUCCACAUUAAAGAAGAUCGUGCAGGAGUGGGUUGUGAGUGGUUGAUGUGCUGCGGUGAUUGGAAGUUGGUACUGGAGAAUUAAUGACCCAGACUGGUUCCCGAACAAACCAAAAGAGAAAGAUGAGAGAUAAUAAGGCAAGAGGAACAGGUGGAGAAAGAAGAGUUAAGAAACAACUGACUGACUAAAAGGUAGAAGUUUCAGGAGCGGGUAUAGACGCAUGGUCGGCGGUUCUCCAGGUUUGCGGGUCAUGGGUCAAGGCCGCGAGUCUUCUCAAUAGCGAGUUUUACUCCCUUUUUUCUGAGAAUUUCCUGUUUUACAGCUUUUUUCUGAUCACGCCU